ACGGCACUUGCUCCUUAGGUCAGCGGCGGACGGGUGAGUAACACGUGGGUAACCUGCCUGUAAGACUGGGAUAACUCCGGGAAACCGGGGCUAAUACCGGAUGCUUGAUUGAACCGCAUGGUUCAAUCAUAAAAGGUGGCUUUUAGCUACCACUUACAGAUGGACCCGCGGCGCAUUAACUAGUUGGUGAGGUAACGGCUCACCAAGGGGACCAUGCGUAGCCGACCUGAGAGGGUGAUCGGCCACACUGGGACUGAAACACGGCCCAAACUCCUACGGGAGGCAGCAGUAGGGAAUCUUCCGCAAUGGACGAAAGUCUGACGGAACAACCCCCCGUGAGUGAUGAAGGUUUUCGGAUCGUAAAACUCUGUUGUUAGGGAAGAACAAGUACCGUUCGAAUAGGGCGGUACCUUGACGGUACCUAACCAGAAAGCCACGGCUAACUACCUGCCAGCAGCCGCGGUAAU
rnacentral:rRNA from 1 species